UACGUAGGGUGCAAGCGUUAAUCGGAAUUACUGGGCGUAAAGCGUGCGCAGGCGGUUCGUUAAGACAGAUGUGAAAUCCCCGGGCUUAACCUGGGAACUGCAUUUGUGACUGGCGGACUGGAGUAUGGCAGAGGGGGGUAGAAUUCCACGUGUAGCAGUGAAAUGCGUAGAGAUGCGGAGGAACACCGAUGGCGAAGGCAGCCCCCUGGGUCGACACUGACGCUCAGGCACGAAAGCGUGGGGAGCAAACGAGG
rnacentral:rRNA from 1 species